GGAGCGGUGUCCGAGCGGUUUAAGGAGGCGGUCUUGAAAACCGUUGUGCUGAAAGGUACCGGGGGUUCGAAUCCCCCCUGCUCCG
rnacentral:tRNA from 1 species